AGAACAUAGGUUGGCUUCUGUGGUGACUAUGUGGGAGUCCUGACCUCGCUUGCAGACUUGACCUCUGGAUAUAACAAGGUAGCUUCACUCCAGAUCUACCACUAACCCUGGAAACUCAAACUCCUGCUCCUCCAAAAGAAUCCCAAAGCAAGAAAGAUGCAGAAUAUUUCCUGAGGCACCAGAAGAACCCAGUAUGGUCUGGUGGGCACAGGAAACUGGGUGAAUGCUUGCAGCUAAUUGGGAGAAUGUGAGGAUCUAGAAGCAAAUUAUAAAGAAGAGGGAGGCACGACGGAGAGAGCAGCAAGCGUGCUAACAUUUCUGAAUACACUUAAGACUCUGCUGACUGCAUCUCUUGGAAAAGAAGCAGCAGGGCAAAGCAUGGCAGUGCUUAAAAGAACCACAAGCAGAAGUGGCAUUGAUGGGAUCAGGU
rnacentral:lncRNA from 1 species